AACAGAUUCCUUGACUCCUUUUCCUGUGGGCACAGACAGAACCACCUCAGCAGGUGCACAGCAUCUCUGCAGCAGAUUUUUCCACCAAAAGCCUCCACAUGGAUGUUAGUGAGGACUCCAAUUUCUUGCUGUUACAUCUGUGCUAUGAAGGAGUCUUUCAAACACAUUUUGGAAAAUGCUACAGCUCCAUAGGUGGAAUUAGUCCCUGGCAUUAGCCAUGCUAGGCAAAGAGCUGCAACAGUGAGACACCUUCAGUCCUCAGACGUUCAAGACUUGUAGCUUCUUGAUAAUGCCCCAAAGAUGCCAGUCUGGGAGUGGACUGAAGCCAUCCAGCUCCUGGGGAUUCAAGAACAAAACCAUAUCCUUUGUAACUGCAUGGAUCCCUGAGGAGAUCAGCUUGUGAGAACAGCAGACACAGAAAAAAAGACUUCUUGAGCUCACUUCUGUGUGGAAUCUAAAGUAAUCAAACUCAUAGAAACAGAGUCAAAGGCUUCGAGUGGUACAACUGGUCCUCCUAACCCAUCCAGUCCACUACUGCCACCUCAAACUCUCUUCAGAGAAAUGGGAUCCUUCUGCUGUUCUGCUGGCACUACAGAACACCAGGCAUGAUUUCCACCACCCACUCCAGGCUGUGGGGAUCAGUCUCUUUGCUGUGAAAGCAUUCUGGGAAGCGAGGACUCGUCACUGGUAAACAACAGUAACAAAUGGAGUUCCCCACCGACAUCUACACCGAGACCACCCAUCACUCAAAUGGCCCUCCAGCCUAUUACUUCUCAAUCGGACUUCUAUCAUGGAUCACUCGAUAGACUGGAUUUUUAAAAAAGGGGGACUCCAAAAUUGCUUGCUCAACACCGUCCCCUUUCAGCUUGAAGAAGCCAGAAUGGUCAUCGCCCCCUUUCCUUACAGCAGUAAGGAGUUCCCAAAAUUAGAGGGGGGAAAUGAAGUCAGAUUUUGACAGAUAGGUAGUUAGUGUAGUAAUUGGGUCUAAUAUCGAGUAAGAUGAAUAAAAUGAAGGCCAUUAUUGAGAAUGGAAUCCAGGAAACCAGAGCAACA